AGUUAUUUUAGGUGUUUCCUGCCCGGUGAUAUUUUAACGGCCGCAGUACUCUGACUGUGCUAAGGUAGCAUAAUAAUUUGUCUUUUAAUUGAAGACUGGAAUAAACGGAUUUCUGGUUGGAUACUGUCUUUAAUUAAUUUUAUUUAAUUUACUUAAAAGGUGAAAAUACCUUUGUUUAUAUGUUAGACGAGAAGACCCUUAGAGUUUUAAUUAAUCAUUUUUGUUGGGGCGACAUAGAAGCAUUUAACCUUCUUUUAAUUUAAUAUAUAUCAAAUUUUUAUUAUGAGAAAACUACCUAAGGGAUAACAGCAUAAUUUAUUUUUAAGUUUGUGACCUCGAUGUUGGAUUAAGGACUUAUAAGUUAACCGCUUAAUAAGAUAGUUCUGUUCGAACC
rnacentral:rRNA from 1 species